rnacentral:rRNA from 1 species
AGCAGCCGCGGUAAUUCCAGCUCCAAUAGCGUAUAUUAAAGUUGUUGCAGUUAAAAGGCUCGUAGUUGAACUUCGGGGUUUACCCAUUGGUCAGGCUUAAUUGUCUGUACUGGUGAGAUAAAUCUCUACCUUCUGAGGAACUUUAAUGCCAUUUAGUUGGUGUGAUAGGAAAUCAGGACUGUUACUUUGAAAAAAUUAGAGUGUUUAAAGCAGGCUAACGUCUGAAUACAUUAGCAUGGAAUAAUGAAAUAGGACGGAUUGGUUCUAUUUCGUUGGUUUCUAGGAUCACCGUAAUGAUUAAUAGGGAUAGUUGGGGGCAUUAGUAUUCAAUUGUCAGAGGUGAAAUUCUUGGAUUUAUUGAAGACUAACUAUUGCGAAAGCAUUUGCCAAGGAUGUUUCCAUUAAUCAAGAACGAAAGUUAGGGGAUCGAAGACGAUCAGAUACCGUCGUAGUCUUAACC